UGAGUAUUUCGAGUCAUAUGAAUAUUUAACUUUUUUUUAACCCCUCUCAUAACCCAGAACAGACCGAUUUUAAUCGCUGGAAUACAUUGACACCUCUUAACUUAUUAAUAAAAAUUGUUUAGACGCCUCAACUAGGACCAUGACCUAUCUACCGCUGGAUUGAAGUUUGCAGCAUAGCAGAGUUGUGGAGUUAGUAUGCAGAUUGGUUAAAACAGGGCAAAAUGGCAAAAUGCUCAAACACUUGAGAAAAGAGGCAUCAUAUAGAUCCCUGGAGUAAGGUUAAGAAAUAUGGAUACCUUGUUGCUAAAAAACACCCGAUCGUACUUGUAGCGAUGUGCUGGAUACACCCAAGAAUUGCAGAUGAAAUGAACUUCACCAUGUCCAGGAAUAUCUUCUAAAGCGACGGUCUUCAGCUUUAGGAGAGUGUAAAUUACCAGGAUCAGCAUGGACAGCACUAAUGAGCUGUAGGAUGACGCGUUUGCCAAAGAGCUCG